rnacentral:tRNA from 1 species
GGCUUCGUGGUGUAACGGUUAACACACUUGGUGCGUAUUCAAGAGGUCUAGGUUCGAGUCCCGGUGAGGGUA